rnacentral:lncRNA from 1 species
GCCGUGGUAACAGGCCUCCGGUGGAGGGCGGGGACCCUCGGAAGCCAGCUGGGUGGCGAUCGCUUGUCUGCCUUGGCAGGCCCCUUGUGCAGUCUUUUCCCGGCGUGAGCGUGCAGGGAUUGAAAAGGAAUGCUUUAUGGUUCAGCAGAGAGCCACCACGCAGGAUGCACUGGGACCUGAGAACCGUCGGGCAGUCCCACGAGCUCUUUCAUGACCAGCUCCAACCGACAAGUACACGCCCCUUCGCACUCCACUAGCUAGUAAGCUGAGCUACAAGGUGUGCCAGGCACCCAGGACGCCGAUUCACCGCUUCAGUGAAGGCCCAGCUCAAAUGCCACCUCUUCCAUGAAGACUUCCGUGAUCCACAAUGAUAGCAUCUCCAGCAAUUGCUUCUAUAAUGAAUAGCAUGAGUCAUUCUGCAGGAUGUUGAUCUUCCUUUUUUUACUCCUAGACUGAAUUUUUCCACCACCUGGAUGAACAUAGCAGAAAGAACAUAGUGUUUUAGAGUCAGACACAAUAGGAAUCAGGCACUUUGGAAUCUUGGCUCUACCACCUUUGAGCUAUGUAUCCCAAGGCAAGUCACUUCCCCUCUCUCAGCUUUAAAAUAGUAAUAGGAUUGCUGUAGGGAUUAAAGUAAAUCAACAUAUGUAAAGUGCCCACACAGGACCUGGCAUAUAGUAGUUGCAUUUUAAAUUUUUUAAACAAAAUGUAAGCAUACUAUCUUUCCAGGGUGUUCAGAAGCCUGAAAAACACCUUGGAUCUUUUCUCAGAGCUGGAUCACAAAGAUGUCACACUGUCUCCUGUUCUGACACACUGAGUGGUUCCUCAUGGCUGGAGCCUGGGGCGUGUGGUCAGGUGUUUGUUGAGAAAGGAGUCGCUUGAUCAGGUGUUUGUUGAGAAAGGAGUCACUGGGAAAUCCCAAAUAUUAUCUGAUUGAACUCAUGUGGUGCCAAGAUCUGGGGGAAUUUCACAGAAAACACAUUUCUGUUUCUAAGCUGUAUUAGUUUUCUGAGGCUGCCAUAACACAUUAUCACAAUUCUUGCUUGAGCCCAAGAAUUUGGGACCAGCCUGGGCAACAUGGCAAAACCUUGUCUCUACAAAAAUACAAAAAUUAGCCCAGCAUGUCGUUUUCACCUAUAGUCCCAGCUACUGAGGAGGCUGAGGUGGGAGGAUUACCUGAGCCUGGGGAGGUUGAGGCUGCAGUGAGUCAAGAUCAUGCCACUGUACUCCAGCUUGGGCAACAGACUGAGACCCCAUAUCAAAAACAAACGAAGAGUGAUCAUCCAGUUACUCACUGCUGGGUCUGAGGGAAGCCCAAAGGCAGUGGGAGCCAGAGAAAAUAGUUGAGAGUCAGAUUUCACAGUGGAGGUGACAUUGAAACAGGGUAUUGAAGGGCCAAUAAGAGUUCACCAAGUCAGGAGAGAGGGAGGAAAGGACAUUCCAGCAGAGAGCAGGAUCUAUUCUUUCCACAAGCCUUUACUGAGGUUCACCUUUGCACAGGCUAGCUACUGGGUUCUGGAAAUGCAGAGCUCAAGUAAACAACCCUUCUCCCACUUUUCCCAAAUGCCGAAAACAUUAGGAGAACUAGGACUCUCAUCCCUAGGGGCAUUGGGAAGAACUCAAAAGCCUGCUGCUUGCAAAGUAUUCAAGAUGAUGUAAAGCAUUUAACACACUGUCUGGGAGAUAGUACAUUUUUAAUAAAUACUAGCUGUCAUUAUUUUCAUAUGUCCUAUUUCAUUCUAAAAACUUUUCUUUCUUGUUUUUGAGACAGAGUCUCUCUCUGUGACUCAGGCUGGAGUGCAGUGGUGCGAUCUCAGCUCACUGCUACCUCUGCCUCCCAGGUUCAAGUGAUUCUCCUGCCUCAGCCUCCCAAGUAGCUGGGACUACAGGCAUGCACCACCACACCCAGCUAAGUUUUUUUGUAUUUUUAGUAGAGACAGGAUUUCACCAUGUUGGUCAGGGUGGUCUUGAACUCCUGACCUCAAAUGAUCCACCCACCUCAGCCUCCCAAAGUGCUGGGAUUACAGGCAUGAGCCACCGCGCCCGGCCCUAAAAACUCUUUUAUUAUUGGGAUCCUAUUUCAUAAUAUGGCUGAUUGUUUCAACAUAAAAAUAUUUUAAAUCACAGAAUUAAAUUAUUAUAAUAUUUACAUAGUGCUAUAUAUCCCCCAGAGAAACAUAUAUCCAAGUUUAGAGAACAUAGAUUAUAAGGUGGCCAAAUGCAAUGUAUAUGCAAUGAUAGAAGGGGUCCAAGGUCAAGUGGUAAGAGUGACCAACUCUUCAGGAGCUGGUGGGCAAGGUCAGAGCAGGCUUCACCAAAGUUAUAAAGGAUGAUUGGGAGUUUAGUAGAUGAACAAUAGGUGUUUAGAUCUGUUUGGCUCGGGAAUAGCUAGUGUUUUAACAGCUAAUUAGUACCAUGUUGGGUAUUUAAAUCAAACAUUCAGUUUCCAGGGCCAAAAAGCUAAGCCUACCCCAAUCCAUUUGCCUCCACUUCCUCCUCCCACCUCAUGGGCCUGAUGCAUUGGGUAAACAAGAGCAAGAUAGGGCAGAUGGGUCUUUCAGUGUCUCAAACUGUAUUGAGUUAAAUCUAUCCCCUUCCUUUCAACAGAGCCCUCUUUCUUCCAUUCACUUACCUGUCUAGUCAAACACCCAUCAGACCUUUGCCAGGUGUCCAGCCUGGGCACUACGUUUCAGAAAAUGAUGCACAUAGAAUCCCUAACUGAAAGGAGAUCGCAGCUCAUUUGGUACAAAGUGCUUUUAGCCUGGGUAAGGAGCUGGAGAGAUGUGAAAAUGUGGAAAGCAAGCCUAAGUCGCAGUGUGGCCUAUGCCUGAGAGCCAUCUUCAGUGCCCCCUUGUGGCUGUAUCUGGGAACCACAGACAGAAUCAUGGAACUGACCAUCUUCAGUCUCAAAGUGCUGCCCUCACCACUACACCCAGGGGCAGGUGGUCUUCGGGGGAAAGGCGGUUCCAGUUCCUUCUCCCAAGCCAGUGAGGAAGUCAAUCCUGCGAACAACUGCAGGAACGGCCUUGGGAGUGGAUCCUUCCUCAGCCCGGCUCCAAGACAACUGCAGCCCUGUGAGAAACCCUGAGUGGAGGACCAAGCCAAGCCUCAAAUCGUGACUUGGAACUGGGAGACAACAGAUGCUGUUGGAAGCCACUGAGCUCUGAAGUAGUUUGUUACACAGUGACAGAAUCUAGGAUCUGGGGAAGGUAAACUGAGGCCACCAGUAAGCAUGUGCUCCAGGCCAAGGCUGAGUCUGUGCUGCAUCCAUGUCAUCAGCCACCCAAGAAAAACCAGUUACUCCACCUAGCUCAUGGUGGCGGCAUCCUCCCUGCAAUGGUGCAUGGGGGGCAGUCCUUUCCCCUGCAGGGUGUCAUUGCCACCCCCAUCCUCAUCCUGGAGGCCAGUCCAGGCUCCGAUAUGAGUGACUAGGGGUGAGGUAGGGGUGGCAGAAGGGAGAUCAAACUGGAGCAUUCCAGAUGCCUACUACUGCCCUCACACAACGGGGCAACUGUGCUCUCCAACUCCUCCCCUUGGCAGAGAAACUGGUCCUGCAGUUUCAGGACUAGACGAGCGUGGGGUAGUGGCAAUAAAGGGGCUUGUAUGAGAAGUG